GCUUUUCAAACUUAGCGGCGGACGGGUGAGUAACACGUGGGCAACCUGCCCUUGAGACGGGGAUAACUCCGGGAAACCGGAGCUAAUACCGGAUAACACAUAUCUUCGCAUGAGGAUAUGUUAGAAGUGGCUUUUAGCUACCACUCAAGGAUGGGCCCGCGGCGCAUUAGCUAGUUGGUGAGGUAACGGCUCACCAAGGCGACGAUGCGUAGCCGACCUGAGAGGGUGAUCGGCCACACUGGGACUGAGACACGCCCAGACUCCUACGGGAGGCAGCAGUAGGGAAUCUUCCGCAAUGGACGAAAGUCUGACGGAGCAACGCCGCGUGAGUGAUGAAGGUUUUCGGAUCGUAAAGCUCUGUUGUUAGGGAAGAACAAGUACUGUUGAAUAAGCAGGUACCUUGACGGUACCUAACCAGAAAGCCACGGCUAACUACGUGCCAGCAGCCGCGGUAAUACGUAGGUGGCAAGCGUUGUCCGGAAUUAUUGGGCGUAAAGCGCGCGCAGGCGUUCCUUAAGUCUGAUGUGAAAGCCCACGGCUCAACCGUGGAGGGUCAUUGGAAACUGGGGAACUUGAGUGCAGAAGAGGAGAGCGGAAUUCCACGUGUAGCGGUGAAAUGCGUAGAGAUGUGGAGGACACCAGUGGCGAAGGCGGCUCUCUGGUCUGUAACUGACGCUGAGGCGCGAAAGCGUGGGGAGCGAACAGGAUUAGAUACCCUGGUAGUCCACGCCGUAAACGAUGAGUGCUAAGUGUUAGAGGGUUCCGCCCUUUAGUGCUGCAGCAAACGCAUUAAGCACUCCGCCUGGGGAGUACGGUCGCAAGACUGAAACUCAAAGGAAUUGACGGGGACCCGCACAAGCGGUGGAGCAUGUGGUUUAAUUCGAAGCAACGCGAAGAACCUUACCAGGUCUUGACAUCCUCUGCUACUUCUAGAGAUAGAAGGUUCCCUUCGGGGACAGAGUGACAGGUGGUGCAUGGUUGUCGUCAGCUCGUGUCGUGAGAUGUUGGGUAAGUCCCGCAACGACCGCACCCUUGAUCUUAGUUGCCAGCAUUUAGUUGGGCAUCUAAGGUGAC
rnacentral:rRNA from 1 species